UCACUAUGACAAUCAAGCCUCUGAUGUAAGAGGAUUCCCCAGAUACAUUCCACAGCCACCUCUAAGUAGGCGCAGGCAGUGGAAGACACAAGGCUGCCAAGUGGGCCUGAGCCCACGCAGGUCGCACUCUCCCUGUCUGAGCAGCCCAGGAGGUUUUUUAGGAAGCCAGGCUCCUCCAGUGGCAGGAAGCUUCCAGGACCUGGAGAAUUGGGGCAGAGCAAGAUUGUCACAGGAUCAUCUAAAGUGAGAGGAAAUGGAGAGCAAGGGUUACUUACAUGCUUCAAAACUGGUUACAACCAGCCAGAUGUGGCAGAGAACUGGGCCUGUGAGGUUAUAUAAGAAGUCCAGGAGCAUGAGGCUGUCUUGUAUCUCCAGCUCCCACAGAACAAACGACAACCUCACAUCGCCACAGAAGACACAAUUGUGCUGCUUCUGCUAAGGAGAGCUUGGAUCCACCUUGUCUCUGGGAACACACAUUUCCCCUUCCACUGCAGGCCCCAGGUAUCACUAGAGAAAUUUCACAUAGCCCUAGAGUUCUUUUAUCUUCUCCCUCAAAGCAUGGGAUUCUCCACAUUUUCCCGACUUUUAAAAAAUCCUGGCUGGACGCGGUGACUCACGCCUGUAAUACCAGCACUUUGGGAGGCUGAUGUGGGCAGAUCACCUGAGGUUGGGAGUUCAAGACCAGCCUGACAGACAUGGAGAAACCCCAUCUCUACUAAAAAUACAAAAUUAGCCAGGUGUGGUGGUGUGCUCCUGUAAUCCCAGCUACCUGGGAGGCUGAGGCAGGGGAAUCACUUGAACC